rnacentral:rRNA from 16 species
CAGUGAGGAAUUUUGGUCAAUGGGCGAAAGCCUGAACCAGCAACGCCGCGUGAAGGAUGAAGGCCCUCGGGUCGUAAACUUCUUUUAGGGGAGAAGAGAAAGGACGGUAUCCCCUGAAUAAGCCACGGCAAACUACGUGCCAGCAGCCGCGGUAAAACGUAGGUGGCGAGCGUUAUCCGGAUUUACUGGGCGUAAAGCGCUUGUAGGUGGUUUUGUAAGUUGGGCGUGAAAUCUCCGGGCUUAACUUGGAGAGGCCGUCCAAUACUGCGAGGCUAGAGGUUAUUCGAGGAAAGUGGAAUUCCUGGUGUAGUAGUGAAAUGCGUAGAUAUCAGGAGGAACACCCGUGGCGAAGGCGGCUUUCUAGGAUAUACCUGACACUGAGAAGCGACAGCUAGGGGAGCAAACAGGAUUAGAAACCCUGGUAGUCCUAGCCGUAAACGAUGGAUGCUAGGUGUUGGCGGACUUAACCCCGCCUGUGCCGAAGCUAACGCGUUAAGCAUCCCGCCUGGGAAGUACGAUCGCAAGAUUAAAACUCAAAGGAAUUGACG